UCCGGUUUGUCACCGGCAGUCUCCCUAGAGUUCCCACCCGAAGUGCUGGCAACUAGGGACAAGGGUUGCGCUCGUUGCGGGACUUAACCCAACAUCUCACGACACGAGCUGACGACAGCCAUGCAGCACCUGUCACUCGGUUCCCGAAGGCACCAAGGCAUCUCUGCCAAGUUCCGAGGAUGUCAAGGCCAGGUAAGGUUCUUCGCGUUGCAUCGAAUUAAACCACAUGCUCCACCGCUUGUGCGGGCCCCCGUCAAUUACUUUGAGUUUUACCGUUGCCGGCGUACUCCCCAGGCGGAGAACUUAAUGCGUUAGCUGCGUCACCGAGUGGCAAACCCUCCCGACGACUAGUUCUCAUCGUUUACGGCGUGGACUAC
rnacentral:misc_RNA from 1 species